ACAUGUGUUUUUUUUUUGUUGUUGUUGUUCAGGUAUUAUUUCCUACCUUUAAAUAUUGCAAAUAACAGCAUACUACAGAGAUGCAGCUACAUAUAGCAGCACAAUUCACAAAAGUGUGGAACCAACUUGGAUGCCCUUCAAUAGAUGAAUGGAUAAAGAAACUGUGGUACAUUUACACAAUGGAAUGUUACUCAGCAUUAAAAAAGAACAAAAUUAUGGCAUUUGCAGAUAAAUUGGUGGAGUUGGAGAAUAUCAUGCUAAGCAAAGUAAGCCAAUCCCCAAAAUGAAUGAGAUGGACAUCAUUACCCUAAGUACAUGUAUGAUUGCAUAAAUGGUGUGACCCUACUUUGUGUACAACCAGAGAAGCGAAAAAUUGUGCUUCAUUUGUAUACAAUGAAUCAAAGAGCAUUCUGCUGUCAUGUAUAACUGAUUAG
rnacentral:lncRNA from 1 species